rnacentral:rRNA from 1 species
AUUCCUACGGGGGGCAGCAGUGGGGAAUAUUGCACAAUGGGGGAAACCCUGAUGCAGCGACGCCGCGUGAGUGAAGAAGUAAUUCGUUAUGUAAAGCUCUAUCAGCAGGGAAGAAAAUGACGGUACCUGAGUAAGAAGCCCCGGCUAACUACGUGCCAGCAGCCGCGGUAAUACGUAGGGGGCAAGCGUUAUCCGGAUUUACUGGGUGUAAAGCGAGUGCAGGCGGGCUAAUAAAGCUGAUGUGAAA